rnacentral:rRNA from 6 species
CUUGGUCUUUGGAGCGAUGUAGAACCACCUGAUCCCUUUCCGAACUCAGAAGUGAAAUGCAUCAGCGCCCACGAUACUGGACAGUAGUCUGGGACAAUAAGUCAAGGCCAGGA